UUUGAACUUCAAAAGGCCAUAUCUCUCAAACCAUUUGGCCAAAUUGGGUGGGGUUUUUUCCUACAAGUCACAUUUGAUCCCCUCUUUCCAAAUAUGCAACCAUCAUUCACCAAAACAUUACCAAUCAAAAUGGCAUUUUUGGACUUGCAUGAAUUAAUUUCAAGUGAGGUUGAAAAAUGAGUUUCAAAAUUAACCACUUCCAACCAAUUCUACCAAUCAAAUAUGUUCAGAAAUCAUAUUUUGGACAUGUUCAAGGCCCAUUUUCGUG
rnacentral:lncRNA from 1 species